AACGAACGCUGGCGGCAGGCUUAACACAUGCAAGUCAAACGAACAUAGCAAUAUGUUAGUGGCAGACGGGUGAGUAACGCGUUGGACUGUGCCCUUUAGUUCGGAAUAACUCAGGGAAACUUGAGCUAAUACCGGAUAAUCCCGAGUGGGGAAAGAUGUAUCGCUGAAGGAGCAGCCCGCGUCUGAUUAGCUAGUUGAUGAGGUAAUGGCUCACCAAGGCGACGAUCAGUAGCUGGUCUGAGAGGAUGAUCAGCCACACUGGGACUGAGACACGGCCCAGACUCCUACGGGAGGCAGCAGUGGGGAAUAUUGGACAAUGGGGGCAACCCUGAUCCAGCCAUGCCGCGUGAGUGAUGAAGGCCUUAGGGUUGUAAAACUCUUUUAUCCGGGAAGAUAAUGACUGUACCGGAAGAAUAGGCCCCGGCUAACUUCGUGCCAGCCGCCGCAGUAA
rnacentral:rRNA from 1 species